rnacentral:lncRNA from 1 species
AUUAGAAUCAGAACUAUUAGGAGACGUGGUACACAGCAGUAUCCCCAGCCCUCACAUUUUCCAGAAAAAGUGAGGAAGACUUUCAAAAAGAAAUGUUAGAAAGUGCUAUGAAGAGAAAUAAAGCAGGAAAAGGGCGUUGGGAAUGUUGGAGAAGGGAUCAGGGCUGCCAGGGAAGGGUCCAUGGAGGCUGAGGCCACAGACCUGAAGGCAGGGAAGGAGUAAGUCAGGUGUAUGUCUGCGGAGUACAUGGAGAGGUGAGAAAAAUUGCAAGGAAACCCUGUAGUUACUGAGAGGUAGCGGGGUGGAAGGGACACAGAACGGCUUGUAUUAAAUAAAUUUUUACUAAAAGUGAAACAGAAGCCAUCAGAGGGUUUUGAACAGAGAGGUAAUGCUAUUUGACUAUUUCAAGGAAUGUUUCUGAGAAUAGACUGCAGGGGCUGAAGGUGGAAAUGGGGAG